UACAGAGGGUGAAAGCGUUGUUCGGAAUUAUUGGGCGUAAAGCGCGUGUAGGCGGCUUUGCAAGUCGGGUGUGAAAGCCCUCGGCUCAACCGAGGAAGUGCGCCCGAAACUGCAGAGCUUGAGUACCGGAGAGGGAUGCGGAAUUCCAGGUGUAGCGGUGAAAUGCGUAGAUAUCUGGAGGAACACCGGUGGCGAAGGCGGCAUCCUGGACCAACACUGACGCUGAGUGAGCGAAAGCCAGGGGAGCAAACGGG
rnacentral:rRNA from 1 species